UACGUAGGUGGCAAGCGUUGUCCGGAUUUACUGGGCGUAAAGAGCGCGCAGGCGGUCGGAUCAGUCGAAUGUGAAAGCCCCCGGCUCAACUGGGGAGGGUCAUUCGAUACUGUCCGACUCGAAGGCAGGAGAGGGAAGCGGAAUUCCCGGUGUAGUGGUGAAAUGCGUAGAUAUCCGGAGGAACACCAGUGGCGAAGGCGACUUUCUGGCCUGUUCUUGACGCUGAGGCGCGAAAGCUAGGGGAGCAAACGGG
rnacentral:rRNA from 1 species